AUACUAACCUGGCGCAGGGGACACCAUGAUCAACGAGGUGGUUCCCCCGGGCGAGAGGCUACGCGCUGAAGCCCGUGAAUACUCGUAACGGGUAUUUGUGCGUUGAAUUUUUGAUAGUGUGGAACCGUUGCAGGCCGUGGGUUCCACG